CCGCCGCUGCUGCUGCUCCCCUCCCCCACCGCUGCUGCUGCUCCCCUCCCCCACCGCCACCGCGGCCGAGCUAGGGAGCUAGGUCCCGCCGCCGCCCCCGCCGCCUGCUCCGAUUCCGGCGGGAUACGGGAGGUCCUCCACCCUGCUGCCUCGACCCGACGGCCUGCUGACCCGAAACGACGGCCUACUGCCCAUUCCGCCAAUCUGCCAAUCUCUGCAGCAAGACGAUGUUUCGAGGUGGACACAGGGGCCGGCGUUGUCGGGGUGCUUGAGGAGCGUUGCCGGAGGGUCAUUGGUCUUCUUCGCCGGCUGUUGGUCACGCUUCGAGGGUGAUUGAAGCAUGCCGCCAAAAAAAAGGGGUGGCGGUCUUAAAAAGAAGCUCAAGGACUUGGUAGGUGUAGGGACUUCGAGGCGGGGCCCCCCACCUAGCCCCCCUCCUAGCCCCCCUCCUGUCGCUCCCACAGGGCGGCCGCGUAGGAAGAAUGCGACGCGGGUACUCACUCCUAGUCCUAGCCCCCCUCCCGCAGCCGAUGAUGAUGACG